rnacentral:rRNA from 1 species
AUUGAACGCUGGCGGCAGGCCUAACACAUGCAAGUCGAGCGGAUGAAGGGAGCUUGCUCCUGGAUUCAGCGGCGGACGGGUGAGUAAUGCCUAGGAAUCUGCCUGGUAGUGGGGGAUAACGUCCGGAAACGGGCGCUAAUACCGCAUACGUCCUGAGGGAGAAAGUGGGGGAUCUUCGGACCUCACGCUAUCAGAUGAGCCUAGGUCGGAUUAGCUAGUUGGUGGGGUAAAGGCCUACCAAGGCGACGAUCCGUAACUGGUCUGAGAGGAUGAUCAGUCACACGUGAACUGAGACACGGUCCAGACUCCUACGGGAGGCAGCAGUGGGGAAUAUUGGACAAUGGGCGAAAGCCUGAUCCAGCCAUGCCGCGUGUGUGAAGAAGGUCUUCGGAUUGUAAAGCACUUUAAGUCGGGAGGAAGGGCAGUAAGUUAAUACCUUGCUGUUUUGGCGUUACCAACAGAAUAAGCACCGGCUAACUUCGG